ACAUCAUUAGGAGGGGAGACGCUUUCCACCGUCAGCGCCUGCCGGAGCAGAGCAGGGGAGCCCUGGCAACAAGGAGAGACACAAACUCAGCAGCCCGUUACACCCAACAGGAAUGGUGACAUCACCUGCAGACAGACGGACCUGGACAGACGGCGCAGACGCCUGGAACGCUUCUCUCCCAUUGGUGGAGAGAUCCAGACUUAAAACCAGAAACUGCAGCUCUAGGCGGUUAACAGCUCUCAACUGAGCAGCAGGCUCCACCUACUCCACCCCAAGAAGCUCCGCCUCCUCUUGCUCAGGGAGUGCUGAGUCCCUGAGUCCCUGCGCUGCAUUCUGGGAAAGUCUGGAACCCUCUCCAUGGGCUGUACCAACUGCUGACCAACCAGGGGGGUCUGACAGUGCUGUGUUGAAUGAGGUGAGAUUCUGAAUGGAUUUUACUUAAAUGAAUUCAGUUUUUUACCCUCUGUCAGCUAGAUUUUGGUUAAUACAAUAUUUUUCCUGUUAUUUCUUUUUUAUUUGUUUUUGAAUGGACUUAAGUCGUGCUUGACAAGUGGUGCAUCUAACUUAAAGC